UAAGGAAUAUUGGUCAAUGGACGAAAGUCUGAACCAGCCAUGCCGCGUGAAGGAUGAAGGUCCUCUGGAUUGUAAACUUCUUUUAUCUGGGACGAAAAAAGGGAAUUCUUUCUCACUUGACGGUACCAGAAGAAUAAGCAACCGGCUAACUCCGUGCCAGCAGCCGCGGUAAUACGGAGGGUGCAAGCGUUAUCCGGAUUCACUGGGUUUAAAGGGUGCGUAGGUGGGCAGUUAAGUCAGUGGUGAAAUCUCGGGCUUAACCCGGGAAACUGCCAUUGAUACUAUCUGUCUUGAAUACUCUGGAGGUAAGCGGAAUAUGGUCAUGUAGCGGUGAAAUGCUUAGAUAUGACAUAGAACACCGAUUGCGAAGGCAGCUUACUACGGAGUUCAUUGACACUGAGG
rnacentral:rRNA from 1 species